CGUCUUCGCCUAUCAGCCCAGGGGCUGCGCAGCCACAAGUCCCAGACACCUCGGCCACGGGAAUAAAUAAGGAAAUAAACAAACCCAGCGCUCUCUGGGGGAAAUGGGGGCGGCGAACAUCAGGCACAAAUAGAGCCAAGAUCGAUUUCCUUAGGGAGGGGGAGGGGGCUCUUGGCAAAGGGAGGUGGGAGCCCCCGUCGCCCCCGUCGCCCCCGAUUGGGAAGAAAUCAGAUUGUUUAGGGUGGAACGGGGUCCCUUGGAGGAGGCACGAGAGUCCUUUUAUUCUUUAAAAAUUAUUUUUUUCCGAGGAGGAGCUCUCGGCAAACGAAUAUCGAGGCGCCGCUCGAGCUGGUUCAGUUGGGGACGCGAUAACUCAGCGCCGGCUUGCAGACCCGCGUAGAAGAUUCGCAGUUUUGGGGGGCUCACCGAUGGCCGUAACGUCUAAGCGCCCCGUGGCGGAUGCGCUCCAGCUUUUGCGCGCGGCUGGAAACGCGCUGGGUGCGGUUGCGAAACGUACAGCGUAGACGUCCCCAGAAGAGCUCGAGGCCUGUCCCGGAGUGAGCAAGCGAGCGCCCGGCCUUCCGCAAGGGUAAGCUCCCCGCCAAGGGGCCGAGACGGAAGCAGACGUCGGAAUCUGGCCUCGCACCCCAGCUUCGGGGUUCCAUGCCGGGUUUCGCUCGCGCCUAACCCUCAGGGCUUUCCGAAGCAGGGCCUGGCUCCAGGCCCGGGCCGUCUGGGGCCGGAGCGGCCGCGAAAAGCCAGGAACGCAGCCGACCGAGCAGCCCCAGGAGCCAAGGUCAGGCCCGCGGGGAGAACGGGCAGCGGUUUCCAGCGCAGGACACGGGCGCCCGGGGCCAGCCGGGCCGCAGACUCUGCUGCUUCCAGCAAGCAGGACCCGCGUCGCUCCGUCCGGCUAGGCCGCACUGACCGACCCCAAAUUCUCUUCCGUUUCCCAAGUUAUUAACAAUUAUCUUUUCCUCCAUCUGAGGUCCGUUGGGUGCAGCGUGUGCUUCCAGACGCCGAAAGUGCAAGCCGAAAUCCUUCGCCGGGGAUGGGUUCCCGCUUGACCUCGGGGCCGAGGUGGGCCGGAAGCGGAGGCCUGGGCCCCGCCGGCGCUGGAAGGGGAAGGCGAAACUCCGAGCGGGGCCAGUUCCUUUCCGUUCGGCUCCCUCGUCUCGCAUCCCUGGCGCGGACCCCGCCACCCCCCGGACCAGCUCGCAGAGGAUUCCGAAGCCUCAGCGUCCCUGGCCCUCUGUUCCAAACGCUCCAGAGUCGGACCACGGGCCGAAUUGGAUAAAUUAGAGACCUCAGCCUGUGCUGAGCCUUGCCAUUCCUUCCCCCAGUCACUGGGCAGUGAGUUCCAAAGCGAGGCGGCAACGUGCAGCCUUCGCUCCUUCUUCGGGAGGAUCCCCGCUUUCCGCGACCUGCUCCCAACUGGGUUUGCCCCCCAAAAUGUAUUUUCCUCAUUUUGCAAAAUUCCGGCCCCGAUUUUAAUAUCACUGUGGGUAGAAGACUAGAGGUUCCCACUUAAAAAGUCCAAAACAAAACCAGGCGAAAGCAAGAGGAAACCACUGUUGGAUCUUCCCUCCUGCCUCUGUUUUUAACAGAAUCGAGUCCCAAACCACCUUCUUUCUUUCCUCCCCAAAAAGAAGUGGCUUAAAAAGACACCCUCUUCUCCGUUUCUUUUCCAUUGCGUCCUGCCUGACUCGGGUCUCUCCUGGAGGCAUCAAGUAAGAAGAGCAGAAGGGCCUGGGAAAAUGAGUAAGAAUUUUAACAACAGAUACGACCCAAGGAAACUUGGACCAACUCCUUUUGCAAUAGAGGGAGUCAGACUAAGGGAGAGAAAUUUCCUCGUUUCUCAGGGGGUCACUUCCCCUCCUGCCUAGUUAAAUCUGGCCCUGUUAUAUAUAUAUAUAUAUAUAUUUUUUUUUUUCCAGGACCAUGGUAUCUCCCUUCCCAAUGUUUGAUUCUGUUCCUAGCUUCUUCCCUUCGGACCGGAAGCAUCUGGGAAGAAUACUGGCUAUUGCUAUUAUUUUAAUAUCCCAUAUUCUCCUCCAAUAUUUUCACCAGGGUUUAUUAUUGCUACUAUUUUUGUUCAUGUUGGUGUUCUUCCCUGUGCUUUGGGAAAAUUCCUCCCCGUUCCCCCAAGUUUGUCGCGUGAGGUACCCGCCGCCCCAAUCAGGGUAAUAAAAUGAGAAAAGGAAGCAGGAGCAUCAUUCUAGAGGCAUGGCUGAGAUCGCAAGGCUAGAGAUUUGCAAUCUCCCGGAAGAGCAGAGAAAGUGGUAAAAAGCAAGGCAGCAUCUCUGUUCUUGCCCCCUCCAAUUUAGGGAGUCCUCCGUGGAGGAGAAGGGUCUUGAACUGAGAAACUGAGCUGCCUCCUACCCCAUGGGUUUCACUGAGCAUUAAUGCUCCAACCGUGUCUGCAGCCCAGGACCUUCAGAAAGGCCUCCCGUGUAGUCCGCCUGUCCCCGCAGCCCCCCAAAAUGUGGGGGAAAAUAUGCUGAAUUCCCGGGCUCUGACCCAAUACGAUAGAGACCCAGGCUGAUACCUCCAGGUCUGGCGGGGACCCUGUCUGGGUACCUCCUCCUUCAACUGGAGGGUGCAGUGGAAAUUUGGGAACCCACUGCUCUCCGGGGCUCUGGAAAGACAAAUUUUCUUUGGCAAAGGGAACGGUGUCGCGCUGUCGACACGGCAGACUAUUUUUCUUGUUUCCUCGCAAGGGCGGAGGAGGGGGGGUAGAAAAGAAAGCGAGAAAGAAAGGGAAAUUAAAUCCACACGUGUUAAGCUUGCUCAAAGGGCCGGAUUCAAAACCAGAGACGAAACCGCGACUCCAGUUCUGGCUGCCCGUGGGCCUCCUUCCAGCCAGCCUGGGCCUCACAGAGCAAGACGUCCACACCGGAGAGAGCCCGAUCUGAUGUUUCAUAAAGAGAUUUCUUUAAGGGGCAAGGGACAUGGUUCCUGUCUGUGCUGCAGGGAGUCCGAAAGCAGACUGUUUGCAGCAAAGCAAACAAAGAUGGGAGUGGUGACCAUCCCCCGCCCCAAACUUCAAGAAAGUCCAGCUUGAUACCUCCUAGUCAAGCCAAUGAAUCAGGUAGCAUUAACUUUAUAACCCAAAUGAGCCAGGCCAGUGAUUCUGGAAUUCCUAAGGUCUGACCAACCUCUGGGACUUGGAACUGCCUGGGUCAAGAGAACCUAAAAAGUCCCGCUUCGGAGGCUGGAACAGCCAGUUUAAUCUGCACGGCUCCUUCCGCAUCCGUCGCUGCUUCUCUCCCUCCUAGAGAAACUUGCUAGGACGGCUCCAGGCCCCAGCCACGGGAGGAGCCCUGCACGGGUGCCGGAGAAGUGGCGGUAGAGGAAGCAACGGCCUCCCCACCCGGAGCUGCGAGUGAAAACUGUAGUAAUGACCUUGAGGAGGUGAAGGGACGCGUGUGGGGGUGCGGGUGAGGAAGGCAGUCAGACCCCAAGCUGGAAAGAUCCGUCACCAAAACGA